GGGGAGCCGCGCAGGCGCGGAGCGGUGAGAACCCCGCGGACCUCCGCUCCGGGCUGGCGGGGCCCUGAGCAGCCUUCGCCUCAGUGUGCCGGAGGCCGGGGUGGGGGCUGGGCCGGGCCGUUGGAUUUUGUUGCAGGUUGAAGUCUGAGGAGUGUUAUGACUUCAAAGAUUGUUUUUGUCUAUUGCCCAUUGGGCCACAAAAAGAUAUGGCUACAGAAGCUAAGUACAACAUUGUACGGGAAGUGGGUCGAGGGAGCUAUGGGGUAGUUUACGAGGCAGUUGUCAGUCAAACCAGAAACAAAGUGGCCGUGAAAAGGAUGCAUUGUAACGUACCUGAAAAUGUGGAACUGGCUUUGCAAGAGUUUUGGGCCCUGCAAAGUGUUCAGAGCCAACAUGAGAAUGUGAUCCAGUUAGAAGAGUGCGUCUUGCAGAGUGGCCAAGUCUUUCAGCCAAUCAGCCGCCAGUACAGGAAAUCGGACAGUCAUCUGCUGCUGAUUGAGACCUGUCUGAAAGGGCGGAGAUGCAUGGACCCCAAGUCUGCCUGUUUUGUGUGGUUUGUGAUGGAGUUCUGUGAUGGUGGAAACAUGAAUGAUUUUUUGCUGUCUCGCACUCCAGAUUCUCAGCUGAAUAAUAGCUUCAUGCAGCAGCUGAGCAGUGCUGUUGCCUUCUUGCACAGAAAUCAGAUUGUGCACAGAGACCUGAAGUCAGAUAAUAUUCUUAUUUCCCAUAGCCCUGGAGGUCCGGUAGUAAAGGUAGCGGACUUUGGCCUGAGUAAGAUAUGCCAGGGGAAAGUGAAUGUGAACCAGCAUUGCUUCUCGUCAGCCUGUGGGUCAAACUUUUACAUGGCACCAGAAGUGUGGGAAGGUCGUUAUACUGCCAAAGCUGAUAUCUUUGCCCUUGGGAUCAUUUUCUGGGCUAUGGUAGAGAGGAUUACCUUCAGGGAUGGAGACUCUGAGAAGGAAUUACUUGGAACCUACAUCUGUCAAGGCAAGCAGCUUAUUCCUGUUGGCGAGGCACUGCUGGAGAAUCCCAACAUGGAACUGCAAAUUCCUCUGAAGAACAAGAAGUCCAUGCCAGACGAUCUCUGCAGACUCCUGCAUGACAUGUUAACGUUUAACCCAAAGGAAAGACUGGAUGCUUUCCAACUAGAAAUUCGAAUCAGGAGAAUCUCCUAUGGGAAAAAGCGCCAACGUUCAUAGCAGCAAGGGGUGAUCAGGUCCUGUAUUCCACUGUUCCUGUCACACAGGAAUCCUGACCAAUACUUCUGAAUUCUCCUUGGAUUAAUGGUUUGACCUUGAGGGAGACCGGUCAGAAUAAAUCUUGAUUGCUUCCCAUUUCCCCCAAUGGUUGUAUGUAAAGGAACAAUUAUUUAUUUGUAUAGUAAUUUUAAUAUGCAAGUCCUAUAUAGCUUGCCCAAUUUUUUUAAUGGAGUAUUGCAGACUGAUCCUUCACUUGUAUAAUAGUGAAGAAGGAUGUUGGUGACUGAGGCUGCCAACCUUAUCAACUCGGUGGCCAUGCUCCGAAGUGUCAAUUCCACUGUCCUUGGUACAGCAGAUGAGGAUUGUCUUGUGCAGUGUUUAAUUAGAGCUUUCCAUGUAAUUACUUCAUUCCAUGGUACUUGGCCAUGUAACUAAAUGGUGGCUGUUUCUGAAAGAGUGGCAUGGUGUAAUCUAAUCUAAUGUUUAUCCAAAAACUUUCUAGCAGAAACAAUGUAUUUUCAUCACAGUAGUUUGUGAAUAUUCUUGCUUAGAUUAACAGAAAUACAUUCUUAAAAUAAAUACAAAGACUGUUUAAUAUGCCAAAUUGUUAUUGGAAUGUAUGCAUCACUAUUACCUUUAGUUUAGAGACUGAAGCUGUCUGCUGUGUCAGCUGUUUGUCCCAGCUACUCUGACAUGGGAAACAAAAAGGACUGAACUGGAGUAUUGGCAGCUAUUGAAACUGUGCUGUCUGGCUCUCCAAUGCCAUCUGUUCUUAGAACAGGCAAAGUCUGCUAGUCUUGUGGAACCAUCAUAGUUGAGGAAGAGUCAAACUUUGGAACGUAGACCACAAUUAAGAUUACACCUGGCAAUAAAACCACUCUGAGGCACUUUAAAUGUUUGUGUGGCACAGGGUUGGCUACUCACUGCAACUCUUGCUUGUUUUAUCAUACUUUGUUGAUGUUCUCCACAGCCUCUGUUAGAAAUACUUAUUUGUAUGUGUGCGCUUUUGUUACCUCAGACUGUGUAUUUUAAAUUUAAUAAAAGAUUUUAU